rnacentral:tRNA from 1 species
AUUUAAAUAGCUUAUAUUAGAGCAUAACAUUGAAGCUGUUAAGGAGAUAAUUUUUAUCUUUAAAUA